AUGUCCUGGAGCCUUGCUUUAUAUUUUCUCAUCUGUUUCUCAGGAACUUCAGCUACAAAAGAAAACACGGUUAAACAUGAGCUAAUUGUUAUCAUUGCUGAGGAAGGCGAUUCUGUCAAUAUGACAUGUGACUUUAACAAUCCAAAACUGAUAGGUGUAUAUUUGAAACGAAUCCUGGGAAAUCCUAUGAAUGUGAUAUAUGCUACAGCAUAUGGAAAAGACAAGACUGAAGCUCCCGAAUAUAAAAAUCGCACAGAAUAUUUUCAGCUGAACAACACAGUGAUGAUUACACUGCGACAGGUGAAGAAGAAUGAUAGUGAUGCAUAUGUGUGUGAGGGAGCCCUGCUAAGAAACAAUUUGCCUCAUACAAUGAAUAGCAGCAGUAUCAUUUUAGCAGUGAAAGAAAAGACAGAGUAUUCCUCAUCUCCCUGGAUGCUGUAUACCCUCAUCUUCCUGUCCUUGCUGGUAGUUUUUAUACUGGGAUGCUUUUCUCUCUCUCAUAUAAAUGUGAGUAUGCUAAUAGUGCUACCUCUGUUUGGUAAAUGAUACCUAUCUUGCAGUAUAGCAGAUUUGUUUUCUUCCAGUGGUGUUAUGAAAUGAGAAAUGUAUCUGUCUCUGGAAGUAUUUUAAAGCUAUGUCCAAAUUAUAAUAUUGAAGUUAGCUCUUUCUUAAAGAAAUCAGAUUCUUUUUCAUGUAAAUGGUCUCCAGGUCUCAAUGGCUAUUCUACACUAGAAAGUAAGCCAUUGCACGGCUAAUCUGGGGGCCAGGAGUUUUGCCCCUGAGAUGCUUCAGGGGCCAUACAUAUUAUCAAAAGAUGAGAAAAGAAAAAGAACUGGCUUGAAGUUACAUCUGGGGCCUUUUCACACUACACAGUUAUAGCACUAUGAUCCCAUUUUGAUCAUCCUAUGAACUAGCAGCCCAAGAGAGGCUUUUCUCUCUGUUUAGAAUCAGGUAAAGGGCAGUCCAGAGAGUGUGAAAUGAUCCAAAAGCCGAAAAUACAGUUUAAGGGAACCCUAGGACUACAGCCCCCAACUCCCAGCACUACCCCAUUUUAUGGACUGUAUAAGGCUCACACUAACUCUUUUAAGACAAAAAAGAGAGAAGACUAGUGAUUCCAAUCAAGAACAAACAUAUUGGUAAGCCUAGUGGACAGAAUUGUCCUUAUUUGACACAAAACCACCCCUGCUAAUAAAGGACAGUCAGAAAGUUGUUCCAUCCAAAAGGAGGUUCCUUUAUGUAUAAGGAUAUAAAAAUCACCGGCAGUCUGGUAAAGAUCUCUCCUGAGCAACACAUAUUAAUUGUGGUCUGUUUUCUACUUCCUUUUCCUUUAACAGGUCAAGAAAUACUGCAAAAAAGAAAAGGGGCAGGAAUUGCAAAAUAUAGUCUAUGAAGAUAUGACUUGCAGCUUGAGACCCAACACAAAGACUACAUCAAAUGUGUACAGUGCACAAUGAAUACUAUUGCUGAAGGCUUCUGGAAUUCCAAUUCAUUUCUCUAUUUGUUUUGAGAUUUGCAAUUCAUUUUGGGAGGUGUAUCCAAAUGUGUAUAAUUCAUGCAGUGGUUAGUAUAUUUAAUACAAGAGUAUUUUCACACCAUGAAAUUAUAGCACCUUGAUUUCACUUUGACAGCUGUGGUUCUGUCCAAUGGUAUCCUAUCCUAGCUGUUUGCAGAGGGUUAUUUAGGGUCCUCAGCCGGGUAUGUGGCUCUGAGCAAACCAAAGAGAUUGUGCAUUUCAUAUACAGCCAGUAUAAUUAAAAUGGAAUAAUUGUGCUAUAAUUACAUAGUGUGAAAAGUCCCUUUAUCUGUAUUGGCUGAUUAGAAUUUGAUGCUCAAAAUGUACACACUAAUGAGACUUUUAUGCUUCAAACUGAAUGGAGGUUCAAUAGAAGAGGGUCAAGAGAUCUUUCCUUGUAGUUAUAGACUGUUUUUAAAAAGUGAUACCAUUCUUAGGACACUCUGGGCCCUUCCAGACAGACCCUAUAUUCCAGGAUCAGAUCCCAGGUUUUCUGUUUAUCCCAGAUUAUCUGGCAAUGAGGAAUCAUAUAAUCCAUAGCAUGCAUUAUUGACCACAUUUAAUUUUGCAUUUAAGAGAGAAAGUGAAAUAGUUACUAUAGUUUUAAGGUGUAGAAUUCUUUCUGAUAAUUUAAACAACUUUGAUUUCAAACUGCAGUCAUCGUACUGGAAUGAGAUUAGAAACUAUUAAAUAUAGGAUAUGUUGUCAAAGGCUUUCAUGGCUGGAAUCACUGGGUUGCUGUGAGUUUUCUGGCCUGUAUGGCCAUGUUCCAGAAGCAUUCUCUCCUGACAUUUCACCUACAUCUAUGGCAGACAUCUUCAGAGGUUGUGGAAAACUCACAGCAACCCAGAUAUAGGAUAUUUACUGGGUUUAUCUAAUAAUGAUGAUAUGUUCAAAAUUUUGCUUAGAUGUUUAGGAGUUCUAGCUUUAUAAUUUUUCCUGUUGCAGACCAUUCUUUAUACAUUGCCUUGUAAUACUAGAUAAGACGGAGGCAACUGGAAUUGCAGUUAAAUGUAUAGACAUUGAUAUAUGUUACAGAGUUGUGCAGCUGUUUGUAAAUGGCUUGGCUAAACAAGCAGAGUGAUGCAUUGAGUUUUUGUUCAUGCAUGGCAGCCUUCAUAUAAUGUUGGAGCUAAUGUAAGAUUAUUUGUUUUGAUGAAGUAUGAGAAGUGAAAAAUAAAAUAUUACUUUUGAUGAAGCAAAGGAAAUGACUUCACUAUUAAAAGUGGUACAAAAUAUAGCAGUAUUUUAUAGUAAAUAUUGCCUGGUGGUGAUAUGUGAAAUGGGAUGCUGAGGAUGAUAUGGGCUGUGAACCAUAUGUAAGUGGUCUGCAUCCCACAAACACAGUGGAUUUUGUUUGUGUGGGAAAAGCACCAUAUUGUCCCCAAUGUAACAGGGUCUACUAGUGCUGGGAGUCUGCAAUUUCUCAGGCACAGGGGGAUGCUUAAAUUGUUUUGUAACUGUUGCACAGACUCUUUCCUAAGCUUUGCUGAAUAAGUUUACUAGGAUGCUUUUGGUGUUUCCAGGUGUGGAAGAAGCAAAUGUCUCAGAACUCCUAUUUUGUCUUUGUUCCAGAUGUUCAAAAUAUAAUCUACCUUCCUCCUUUGCAGUUGAAUGAAUGAGCUCUCAGGCCUAAACUUCACUGCCAUCUAAUUCAGUGUAACAAUUGUAUUAGCCUGGUGCAUCCACAUGACACACAUGCUAAUGUGAUUGAAAUCAUGGUAAGACAAUUUAGCUUGAUCCCAGGUUUUUUUUUAAAACAUCUAGAGAGAUCUGACUCAUUCAGGAGGAUUCAGACCUUUCCCAGUUUUGGGGCAGAGGAUAUUGAAAUUUUGGAUCUCCAUGCGGGAUCUGAGAUUGUGUUCCCACAGUUCUGGGAAUGGCGCAGCAAUAAACUUGGAAGGCUGGAGUUGGUCCACCCUUGCUUUUGUUGUCGUUGCGGUUGUUGAGUGCCUUCAAGUCAUUUCUAACUCAUAGCAACCCUAAGGUAAAUCUGUCAUGCUGUCAGGAUCCAGAACUCUGCCAGUAUGCAGGCAGAGCUUAACCAAGACAAACACCCGGCUUGUGUCAGCUAUUUUACUUAAAGCAGUAAACCUAAAGCACUUGGGUGAUUCAAGGUCUAAGUUCAAACAUACUCAGAUUUAUUUAUUUAUUUCGUGUCAAAAGCAUUGCAUAAUAAAUAAGUUUAAAAGUGAUGAAAUAAAGGAAAUCACAAGCAGCUAAAUAAUUUUAGACCAAAAGCGGGCAACAGCAACCGCAUUGUCCAUAGCUUUAAACAACUCCUCCUCCGUAUAUGAGGCAGGACAUUGUGGGCAAGCAUACAUAUGCGGAGUUGUUUGUUCUGCUCCACAGUCACACAAGGUGGAGGAUUCCUCCAGAUAAUGCCAUCUUGCCAGAUUGUCUUUUGAUCUGUCCACUCUGCUUCUCAGUCUGUUCAGGGACUCCCAAGUGGCCCAUUCUUGGUUUGCCCCUGGAGGAAGACCCUCAUGGGGGGGCAUCCAGUUGAGAUUGCCUGGUUUAGCUGCCCAGAGGGACACUCUUGCUGUUGCUGGAGGAACAUCAAAAGGAGUGGUGGUUCUCAUGAAGCCCUUCCUUGAUUUGAGUCUGGUGGGAGGAGGCUGAUAGCCAUGCAGUGGAUGGCUUUCACAAUGUUCGACCCUAUUUCUCUCACAGUUAGUAGUAACUUCCCAUCGCAUAUUUGUGGGGGGGGGGGCAAUGCCAGCUAACUUGUAGAGUUUAUCAACAGGUGUAGGUUUAAGGCAUCCUGUGAUUAUUCUGCAAGCUUAUUGCAUAACAAGCAGAUUUCAGACCAGGGAAAAACUGUACAGGUCAAAUUUUUCAUCUGACUGAGCAUAUUGAGGAAGGCUAUGAGAAUGGCUGCAUUACAGGAACAGUUUUUGUGG
rnacentral:lncRNA from 1 species